rnacentral:rRNA from 1 species
UUUAUGGAGAGUUUGAUCCUGGCUCAGGAUGAACGCUGGCGGCGUGCCUAAUACAUGCAAGUCGAGCGAACGGACGAGAAGCUUGCUUCUCUGAUGUUAGCGGCGGACGGGUGAGUAACACGUGGAUAACCUACCUAUAAGACUGGGAUAACUUCGGGAAACCGGAGCUAAUACCGGAUAAUAUUUUGAUCUGCAUGGUUCAAAAGUAAAAGACGGUCUUGCUGUCACUUAUAGAUGGAUCCGCGCUGCAUUAGCUAGUUGGUAAGGUAACGGCUUACCAAGGCAACGAUGCAUAGCCGACCUGAGAGGGUGAUCGGCCACACUGGAACUGAGACACGGUCCAGACUCCUACGGGAGGCAGCAGUAGGGAAUCUUCCGCAAUGGGCGAAAGCCUGACGGAGCAACGCCGCGUGAGUGAUGAAGGUCUUCGGAUCGUAAAACUCUGUUAUUAGGGAAGAACAUAUGUGUAAGUAACUGUGCACAUCUUGACGGUACCUAAUCAGAAAGCCACGGCUAACUACGUGCCAGCAGCCGCGGUAAUACGUAGGUGGCAAGCGUUAUCCGGAAUUAUUGGGCGUAAAGCGCGCGUAGGCGGUUUUUUAAGUCUGAUGUGAAAGCCCACGGCUCAACCGUGGAGGGUCAUUGGAAACUGGAAAACUUGAGUGCAGAAGAGGAAAGUGGAAUUCCAUGUGUAGCGGUGAAAUGCGCAGAGAUAUGGAGGAACACCAGUGGCGAAGGCGACUUUCUGGUCUGUAACUGACGCUGAUGUGCGAAAGCGUGGGGAUCAAACAGGAUUAGAUACCCUGGUAGUCCACGCCGUAAACGAUGAGUGCUAAGUGUUAGGGGGUUUCCGCCCCUUAGUGCUGCAGCUAACGCAUUAAGCACUCCGCCUGGGGAGUACGACCGCAAGGUUGAAACUCAAAGGAAUUGACGGGGACCCGCACAAGCGGUGGAGCAUGUGGUUUAAUUCGAAGCAACGCGAAGAACCUUACCAAAUCUUGACAUCCUUUGACAACUCUAGAGAUAGAGCCUUCCCCUUCGGGGGACAAAGUGACAGGUGGUGCAUGGUUGUCGUCAGCUCGUGUCGUGAGAUGUUGGGUUAAGUCCCGCAACGAGCGCAACCCUUAAGCUUAGUUGCCAUCAUUAAGUUGGGCACUCUAAGUUGACUGCCGGUGACAAACCGGAGGAAGGUGGGGAUGACGUCAAAUCAUCAUGCCCCUUAUGAUUUGGGCUACACACGUGCUACAAUGGACAAUACAAAGGGCAGCGAAACCGCGAGGUCAAGCAAAUCCCAUAAAGUUGUUCUCAGUUCGGAUUGUAGUCUGCAACUCGACUACAUGAAGCUGGAAUCGCUAGUAAUCGUAGAUCAGCAUGCUACGGUGAAUACGUUCCCGGGUCUUGUACACACCGCCCGUCACACCACGAGAGUUUGUAACACCCGAAGCCGGUGGAGUAACCUUUUAGGAGCUAGCCGUCGAAGGUGGGACAAAUGAUUGGGGUGAAGUCGUAACAAGGUAGCCGUAUCGGAAGGUGCGGCUGGAUCACCUCCUUU